rnacentral:rRNA from 1 species
GACGAACGCUGGCGGCGUGCCUAAUACAUGCAAGUCGAACGCAGUGGGGACGGGUGAGUAACACGUGGGUAACCUCCCAUCAGAGGGGAUAACACUUGGAAACAGGUGCUAAACCGAUACUGAUGGAUGGACCCGCGGUGCAUUAGCUAGUGGGUGAGGUAACGGCUCACCAAGGCCACGAUGCAUAGCCGGCCUGAGAGGAGGAUCGGCCACACUGGGACUGAGAAACGGCCCAGACUCCUACGGGAGGCAGCAGUGGGGAAGAUUCGGCAAUGGACGAAAGUCUGACCGAGCAAUGCCGCGUGAAUGAAGAAGGUUUUCGGAUCGUAAAGCUCUUUUGUUAGAGAAGCGGUAUCUAAACAGAAAGCAACGGCUAACUACGUGCCAGCAGCCGCGGUAAUUC